AGAAAGUGACACUGCUGAAAGUAAAGAUCGGACGCAACGUAUACAGCUUAACCGACACGAGUAUCCUGCACAUUCCGAAGUAAGAAAGCAAUUGCACCAAAUUAAGGAGCAUUGUGGAUCCUAAAAGUGACACUGCUGAAAGUAAAGAUCGGACGCAACGUAUACAGCUUAACCGACACGAGUAUCCUGCACAUUCCGAAGUAAGAAAGCAAUUGCACCAAAUUAAGGAGCAUUGUGG
rnacentral:lncRNA from 1 species